GGUGUCUGGAGCUGAAUACUCGGUGAGAAACGGAGUUUGACACGAGCUGGUUGGGAGAACAAUUUGCAUAACUUCGAUUCACGACUUACAAGCGGCAGAGCUCGUGACGAUGCUUUGUGGCUCGAGACGAUAUAUAUAAAACGAAACAAAAGUUACGAGGUACUGAAAGGUACAUGCUUAAAGAUAUGAAGGAAAAUGAAUCUUCCAGGUAUGAGAAAAACCAACGAAAAGCCAAGCUCAGAUGCUUAUCUGUUAACAACAAGCACAUGUAUCAGCUCACC